ensembl:lncRNA
GUCAAAGAGGUGACCUCCCACACCAAGUUCCUGUCCAAGAUCGAGAAGACGACCCCUCAAGCCAAGUUCUUGUCCAAGGUCGAAGAGAUGACCUCUCAAGCCAAGUUCCUUUCCAAGGUUGAAGAGACGACCUCCCAAGCCAAGUUCCUGUCUGAGGUCGAAGAGACGGCCUCCCUGGCCAAGUUCCUGUCUGAGGUUGAAGAGACGGCCUCCCUGGCCAAGUUCCUGUCUGAGGUCGAAGAGAUGACCUCUCAAGCCAAGUUCCUUUCCAAGGUUGAAGAGACGACCUCCCAAGCCAAGUUCCUGUCUGAGUUCGAUGAAGUGACCUUUCACGCCAAGUUUCAGUCUGAGAUUGACGAUGUGACCUUCCACGACAAGUUCCAGUCUGAGAUCGACGAGGCGACCACCCACACCAAGUUCCAGUCCAAGGUCUCUAACAUGGACAACCAAGUUAUGCUCACACCUGAGUCUGCUGACACGACCAACCAAGUUCUCCUCAUGCCUGAAACCGACAUCAUGAUCGACCAAGUUAUGCUCAUGCCUGAGUCUGUAGACAUGACCAACCAAGUUCUCCUCAUGCCUGAAGCCGACGUCACAACUAACCAGGUUCUGCUAACGCCUGAAGCCGAAGACACAACUUCCCAAGCUUGGGUCUUGCCAAAUGACUCCGGAAAACCAGCCCCAGCCUCAUGUCUGCUCCUCAGCUCCUCGAGGAACCUGCUACUUGUCGGACAAUGCCUGCAUUGGAACCUGAGGGGCUGUGAAGACAUUUUGCCCAGAAGGCCAGGACCGCCGGGGGAGGGAGUGUAUUUUGGCGCUUGAGGGGAAGUGUCCUUGGGGGGGGUUCUGUCAUAUCACAGAAAACCAGUGACUACAUUUCCCAUCCUGCACUGCAGCCUACAAACAUGGUCGCCGUGGACUGCAAUUUCCAGAACACUUACAUUCAUUCCAAUCACGUACACCUGCAUCAAAUUCACAGCACUCACAACCACAGUAUAAAGAGACUGUUUGAACACAAUGACUUUGCAAUGUAAUGAGUGUUAUCACCAUACCAAGCGUUUAUACCCUGUUGCUUGAUUUGUU